rnacentral:rRNA from 1 species
UACGUAGGGUGCAAGCGUUGUCCGGAAUUAUUGGGCGUAAAGAGCUCGUAGGCGGUUUGUCGCGUCUGCUGUGAAAUCCCGAGGCUCAACCUCGGGCCUGCAGUGGGUACGGGCAGACUAGAGUGCGGUAGGGGAGGUUGGAAUUCCUGGUGUAGCGGUGGAAUGCGCAGAUAUCAGGAGGAACACCGAUGGCGAAGGCAGAUCUCUGGGCCGUAACUGACGCUGAGGAGCGAAAGCGUGGGGAGCGAACAGG